AUUGAACGCUGGCGGCAUGCUUUACACAUGCAAGUCGAACGGAUCAGAGGGGCUUGCUACUCUGGUUAGUGGCGAACGGGUGAGUAAUGCAUCGGAACGUACCGUGUCGUGGGGGAUAACCCGGCGAAAGUCGGAUUAAUACCGCAUACGAUGUACGGAUGAAAGUGGGGGACCGCAAGGCCUCCCGCUAUACGCGCGGCCGAUGGCGUAUUAGCUAGUUGGUAGGGUAAAGGCCUACCAAGGCAACGAUCCGGAGCGGGUCUGAGAGGAUGAUCCGCCACACUGGGACUGAGACACGGCCCAGACUCCUACGGGAGGCAGCAGUGGGGAAUUUUGGACAAUGGACGCAAGUCUGAUCCAGCCAUGCCGCGUGAGUGAAGAAGGCCUUCGGGUUGUAAAGCUCUUUUGUCAGGGAGCAAAUCCUGUUUCUUAAUACGGAACGGGGAUGAGAGUACCUGAAGAAUAAGGACCGGCUAACUACGUGCCAGCAGCCGCCGUAAAAC
rnacentral:rRNA from 1 species